ensembl:snoRNA Small nucleolar RNA SNORA5
UGCAGCUUUGUCAAAUUCAGUGCUUCCUCUACCAUGGACUGCACUGGCCAAAAUGGCUGCUACAGUGAAACUAUGGUUCAUGGGCCUCACAUUCAUUUUCCAUGGAUGUUGGGGAUAAAUUUGUACUAUAGACAGUU